GAUGAACGCUGGCGGCGUGCCUAAUACAUGCAAGUCGAGCGAACGGACGAGAAGCUUGCUUCUCUGAUGUUAGCGGCGGACGGGUGAGUAACACGUGGAUAACCUACCUAUAAGACUGGGAUAACUUCGGGAAACCGGAGCUAAUACCGCAUAAUAUUUUGAACCGCAUGGGUCAAAAGUGAAAGACGGUCUUGCUGUCACUUAUAGAUGGAUCCGCGCUGCAUUAGCUAGUUUGUAAGGUAACGGCUUACCAAGGUAACGAUGCAUAGCCGACCUGAGAGCGUGAUCGGCCACACUGGCACUGAGACACGGUCCCGACUCCUACGGGAGGCAGCAGUAGGGAAUCUUCCGCGAUGGGCGAAAGCCUGACGGAGCAACGCCGCGUGAGUGAUGAAGGUCUUCGGCUCGUAAAACUCUGUUAUUAGGGAAGAACAUAUGUGUAAGUAACUGUGCACAUCUUGACGGUACCUAAUCAGAAAGCCACGGCUAACUACGUG
rnacentral:rRNA from 1 species